rnacentral:rRNA from 1 species
UGGGGAAUAUUGGACAAUGGGGGGAACCCUGAUCCAGCCAUGCCGCGUGUGUGAAGAAGGCCUUAUGGUUGUAAAGCACUUUAAGCGAGGAGGAGGGUACUGGUAUUAAUACUACCAGGUACUGGACGUUACUCGCAGAAUAAGCACCGGCUAACUCUGUUCCAGCAGCCGCGGUAAUACAGAGGGUGCGAGCGUUAAUCGGAUUUACUGGGCGUAAAGCGUGCGUAGGCGGCUAAUUGAGUCGGAUGUGAAAUCCCCGAGCUUAACUUGGGAAUUGCAUUCGAUACUGGUUAGCUAGAGUGUGGGAGAGGAUGGUAGAAUUCCAGGUGUAGCGGAGAAAUGCGUAGAGAUCUGGAGGAAUACCGAUGGCGAAGGCAGCCAUCUGGCCUAACACUGACGCUGAGGUACGAAAGCAUGGGGAGCAAACAGG